rnacentral:rRNA from 1 species
UUGACCUCGGAUCAGGUAGGGAUACCCGCUGAACUUAAGCAUAUCAAAGG